CCUACGGGUGGCAGCAGUGGGGAAUAUUGGACAAUGGGGGGAACCCUGAUCCAGCGACGCCGCGUGAGUGAAGAAGUUUCUCGGUAUGUAAAGUUCUAUCAUCAGGGAAGAAUGAAAUGACGGUACCUGAACAAUAAGCCCCGGCUAACUACGUGCCAGCAGCCGCGGUAAUACGUAGGGGGCAAGCGUUGUUCGGAUUGACUGGGCGUAAAGGGAGCGUAGACGGUAAUGCAAGUAUGAAGUGAAAUGCAGGGGCUUAACCCCUGGACUGGUUUCUAAACUGGAUGACUUGAGUGCAGGAGAGGUUAGGGGAAUGCCUAGUGUAGCGGUGGAAUGCGUAGAUAUUAGGAGGAACACCAGUGGCGAAGGCGGCUUACUGGACUGUAACUGACGUUGAGGCUCGAAAGUGUGGGGAGCAAACAGGAUUAGAUACCCCUGUAGUC
rnacentral:rRNA from 1 species